rnacentral:rRNA from 1 species
AUACGGAGGGUGCAAGCGUUAAUCGGAAUUACUGGGCGUAAAGCGUACGUAGGCGGUUUAUUAAGUCAGAUGUGAAAGCCCCGGGCUUAACCUGGGAACUGCAUUUGAAACUAGUAGACUAGAGUAUGGUAGAGGGGGGUAGAAUUCCUAGUGUAGCGGUGAAAUGCGUAGAUAUUAGGAGGAAUACCAGUGGCGAAGGCGGCCCCCUGGACAAAUACUGACGCUGAGGUACGAAAGCGUGGGGAGCGAACAGGAUUAGAUACCCCAGUAGUCC